GAAAUGCGAUAAGUAAUGUGAAUUGCAGAAUUCAGUGAAUCAUCGAAUCUUUGAACGCACCUUGCGCUCCUUGGUAUUCCUUGGAGCAUACCUGUUUGAGUAUCAUGAAAUCUUCAAAGUAAAUCUUUUGUUAACUCAAUUGGUUUCUACUUUGGUAUUAGAGGUCUUUGCAGCUUCACACCUGCUCCUCUUUGUUCAUUAGCUGGAUCUCAGUGUUAUGCUUGGUUCCACUCGGCGUGAUAAGUUAUCUAUCGCUGAGGACACUGUAAAAGGUGGCCAAGGUAAAUGCAGAUGAACCGCUUCUAAUAGUCCAUUGACUUGGACAAUACUUUUAUGAUCUGAUCUCAAAUCAGGUAGGACUACCCGCUGAACUUAAGC
rnacentral:misc_RNA from 1 species